UGCUCUGACCCUGCCAUGGGCACCAGGCUCCUCUGCUGGGCGACCCUCUGUCUCCUGGGGGCAGGUCACACAGAAGCUGGCGUCUCCCAGUCCCCCAGGCACAGGGUCACAGGGAGGGGCCAGAAUGUCACUCUCAGGUGUGAUCCAGUUUCUGAUCACAAUCGCCUUUAUUGGUACCGACAGAUGCUGGGGCAGGGCCUGGAGAUUCUGACUUAUUUUCAGAACAAAGAUGCAGUAGACACGUCAGGGAUGCCUGAUGCUCGGUUCUCUGCUAAGAGGCCUCAGGGCUCGUCCUCCAUCCCUGGAGAUCCAGCGAGUGGAGCCGGGGGACUCGGCCAUGUACCUCUGCACCAGCAGCCUCGUCACAGUGGGACACAGCCACCUCCUUUCUGUUCACAAACCCCCAUGUGCUCACCUCUCCUCACAGAUCCCAGGAACUGCCAAAUAAAGGAGUUACCCCUUCUCCCCUCAUCAGGAGGAAUGGGUGGGUUUGGGACUUCAGCGUUCUGGUAGUCGCAGGUCAGAAAAUAAUCUGGGUUGUAGUAAUUUUUGUUUCAAGGUUUCUGAGAUUCCUUUAUACAGUUCAAGAUUCUAAAACUGGGAUUGA